GCAUAUCAAUAAGCGGAGGAAAAGAAAAUAACAAUGAUUCCCUCAGUAACGGCGAGCGAAGAGGGAUAAGCUCAAAUUUUAAAUCUGUUGGGUUCCACUUUACAGAGUUGUAUUUUGAAGAAACUGUUUUCUGCGUCCAGGAUUAGCCUAAAUCCUUUGGGAUAAGGUAUCCUGGAGGGUGAGAAUCCCGUUCAUGGUUAAUCUUAAGGAAGCUCUACGAUACGUUUUCCAAGAGUCGAGUUGUUUGGGAUUGCAGCUCAAAAUGGGAGGUAAAUUUCUCCUAAGGCUAAAUAUUGGCGAGAGACCGAUAGCGAGCAAGUACCGUGAGGGAAAGAUGAGAAGAACUUUGAAAAGAGAGUUAAACAGUACGUGAAAUUGUUGAAAGGGAAACGAUUGAAGUCAGUCAUACCAACGGGAAAUCAACCUUUUGAGUUCGGUCUCGUGGGUUUUGAAGAGUUUCAAAGCCUUCGGAUUCGCGGGAUUGGGAUCUCUUGGCGUACUUUUUCGUACGGUUAGUCAACAUCGGUUUUGAAUGUCAUAAAAUGACUGGAGGAAUGUAGCUUCGAUCUCGUAUUGAAGUGUUAUAGCCUUUGGUAGAUGUGAUGUUUGAGACCGAGGAUUGCAACGGAUACCCUUCAGGGCUAUUCGUCUGAUCUCUGAUACGUUGCCUUGAUGUUGAAAGCUUGCUUAUGAUGUUAGGGUAUUACGGUCAAAAGGUUAGAACGAAUUACAUUCGCUAAGGAUGUUGACGUAAUGGCUUUAAACGAC
rnacentral:rRNA from 1 species